ensembl:lncRNA
GUUCCUCAGAUCAGCCUUUGAGCUUCUGGUUUCUUCAAAGCACCAUAACAUGGAUGGUCUUGAUGCCUCAUCUGUGACCACACACGUGUUGAUUGGCCAUGAAGACCCCAUGCAAGCUGAACCCAGAGAAGCGGCAUCCCCUCCACUGUGUAGACGCACAGCGAGGGCCAGGAUGUCACACGGGGAAACUCAACCCUGGAAACUUUCAGAACGACACACUUGUGUUCAAGCAGCAUGACAGUAAAAGAGCGGAGCGAGUCAGAGAGGUAAAUGCUGACGGCUGGAGAUUUCUCGUCUCUCUGCUUUAACUGGCUAAGGUCUUUUUUGUUGGUAUAAAAAUAUGCAUGAGAGGGAGAGAAAGAGAAAUGCUGACCAUUUUUCCCGGCCUCUCCAGUCGUCAAAAAACAGACGUGCGGAGGAACCCGACAGCCAUGAAAUAAAUUAAUGCAAUGUGCCA